ACGAAAGUAUUUAAGGGCGCACGGGGGAUGCCUAGGUUCUGAGAGGCGAUGAAGGACGUGCCAAGCUGCGAAAUUUUACGGGGAGUUGCUAAGAAACGCUGAUCCGUAAGUAUCCGAAUGGGGCAACCCACCUGUUUACAGGUAUUCCGUAAGGAAAGCGAACGAGGGGAACUGAAACAUCUAAGUACCUUCAGGAAGAGAAAACAAAAGUGAUACCGCAAGUAGUGGCGAGCGAACGCGGCAUAGCCCAAACCAGGAUUGUUUCGGCAAUACUGGGGUUGUAGGACUUGCAUAAUUUAAUUAAUUUAAUCAGAACAAUUCUGGAAAGAUUGACCAUAGAGAGUGAAAGUCUCGUAUGAGUACUUAUUAAUUAAUGGCGAGUAUCCUGAGUAGGCGGGAACUGGAGAAAUUCCCGUUGAAUCUGGCAGCACCAUCUGCUAAGGCUAAAUACUCCUCAGAAACCGAUAGUGAACCAGUACCGUGAGGGAAAGGUGAAAAGUACUCCGAAUAGGAGGGUGAAAAGACCUGAAACCGUGCGCUUACAAGCGGUUGGAGGGACGUUAAUGUCCUGACAUCGUGCCUUUUGCAUAAUGAUCCUACGAGUUACACCUAACUAGCAAGGUUAAGAUACUAAGUAUCGCAGCCGAAGCGAAAGCGAGUAUGAAUAAUGCGUGUAGUUAGUUGGGGUAGACGCGAAACCUAGUGAUCUACCCAUGGUCAGGUUGAAGCUUUGGUAACACAAAGUGAAGGACCGAACCCGUUGACGUUGAAAAGUCUUGGGAUGAACUGUGGGUAGGGGUGAAAGGCUAAUCAAACUAGGAAAUAGCUCGUACUCUUCGAAAUGUUUUUAGGAACAGCCUCGUAGAUAGUUUGUGUGAGGUAGAGCUACCGAUAAGACUAGGGGGAGUCACAUCCUACCAAAUCUUGACGAACUCCGAAUGCAUACAAAUGUUUCACGGGAGUGAGGGCUGUGGUGCUAAGGUCGCAGUCCGAGAGGGAAAGAACCCAGACCAUCAGCUAAGGUCCCCAAAUAUAGAUUAAGUUGACCUAAGGUGGUCCGAUUACGGAGACAGCCAGGAUGUUGGCUUGGAAGCAGCCAUUCAUUUAAAGAGUGCGUAACAGCUCACUGGUCGAGUGAUUGGGCGUCGAUAAUACACGGGCAUAAAUCUAUUACCGAAGCUAUGGAUUAUACGUUUUUGAAUGUAUAGUGGUAGAAGAGCAUUCUGAAUGCGUUGAAGCUUGAUUGUGAAUGAUAGUGGAGCGUUUAGAAAAGCAAAUGUAGGAAUGAGUAACGAUAAAGGGGGUGAGAAACCCCCUCGCCGAUAGACUAAGGUUUCCUGAACAACGCUAAUCGUUUCAGGUUUAGUCGGGACCUAAGGAUAAGCCGAAGGGCGAUUCCGAUGGUAAACAGGUUAAUAUUCCUGUACCUCGUUUAAAUUGUUAGGGGAGACGGAGUAAAUAAUGUAAUGCGUUCUGACAGAAAUGGACGUUAAAGCCGAAACGUAAAGGUUUUUAGUAGGUAAAUCCGCUAAAAAUUGGAUUAGGCAAUAGUACGACAAACCUUCGGGGGCGUUGAUAAUUUACAUAAUAGCUUCCAAGAAAAUCCUCGUUAACGUUAAUUUAAAUAGCCCGUACCGCAAACCGACACAGGUAGUCAAGGAGAGAAUCCUGAGGCGCUCGGAAGAUUCAUGGUUAAGGAACUAGGCAAAUUUACCCUGUAACUUCGGGAGAAGGGGUGCCGUCUUAUAGCGAUAUAAGCGGCUGCAAUAAAAAGGUCCAAGCGACUGUUUAACAAAAACACAGGGCAUUGCGAAAUCGUAAGAUGAAGUAUAAUGCCUGACACCUGCCCGGUGCUUGAAGGUUAAGAGGGGAGUUUAGGAGCAAUCCGAAGAUUUGAAUCGAAGCCCAAGUAAACGGCGGCCGUAACUAUAACGGUCCUAAGGUAGCGAAAUUCCUUGUCGGGUAAGUUCCGACCUGCACGAAUGGUGUAACGACUUGGACACUGUCUCAACCAUGAUUCCGGUGAAAUUGAAGUAUCGGUGAAGAUGCCGAUUACCCGCAACGGGACGAAAAGACCCCGUGAACCUUUACUAUAGCUUCGCAUAGUUGUUGAAUACAGAAUGUGUAGGAUAGGUGGGAGACUUUGAAGUUGCGUCGCUAGGCGUGAUGGAGUCAUUGUUGAAAUACCACCCUUUCUGUAUUUGUCAUCUAACCUUGAAUAGAGGGACGGUGCGUGGUGGGUAGUUUGACUGGGGUGGUCGCCUCCGAAAGUGUAACGGAGGCUUCCCAAGGUUUCCUCAAUACGGUUGGUAAUCGUAUGUAGCGUGUAAUGGCAUAAGGAAGCUUGACUGCAAGACAAACAGGUCGAGCAGGUACGAAAGUAGGGCAUAGUGAUCCGGCGGUUCUGUGUGGAAAGGCCGUCGCUCAAAGGAUAAAAGGUACUCCGGGGAUAACAGGCUGAUCUCCCCCAAGAGCUCAUAUCGACGGGGAGGUUUGGCACCUCGAUGUCGGCUCGUCACAUCCUGGGGCUGGAGAAGGUCCCAAGGGUUGGGCUGUUCGCCCAUUAAAGUGGCACGCGAGCUGGGUUCAGAACGUCGUGAGACAGUUCGGUCUCUAUCUGUUGUGGGCGUAGGAAAUUUGCGAAGAUCUGACUUUAGUACGAGAGGACCGAGUUGGACAAACCUCUGGUAAAUCAGUUGUGGUGCUAACUGCAUUGCUGAGUAGCCACGUUUGGAACAGAUAAGCACUGAAAGCAUCUAAGUGCGAAACUGACUUCAAGAUGAGAUUUCCCUUAAGAGACGUUAUAGAUGAUGACGUAGAUAGGUUGCAGGUGGAAGUUUAGAAAUAAAUGGAGCUGAGCAAUACUAAUUUCUCGAUUGUCUUUUGUUA
rfam:Bernardetia litoralis DSM 6794 chromosome, complete genome.